UAUCAAGCUUGUGCCAUUGUAACUUAUUUAGACUAUGAUGGUUACUUUUCAAGUCCUUUGCACAGAGAUGGCACUGAAACAGAGCAAUGCUGUAUCUGGCAACUCUUGAAAUGACAAAUUGCUAACUACAAAUUGUAGUAAAAUAAUUUGAAGAACUCUGCCCCAGAAAUGAACUGUACUUCUAUUUUUAUUAAAAUUCGUAGUUAGCAAUUCAUUAUUUACACAGCUGCCAGAUACAGCACUGAUCUGUUUCAGUGCCAUUUCUGUGCAAAGGACUUGAAAAGUAACCACCAUUGUCUAAAUAAGUUACAAUGGCACAAUCUUACUGAAGUUUAAUUCUAGCUAAGCUAUCUAGUUCUAAAUUUAGGAUCACAACAUGUGUAGGCAUUUACUAACAUAUCUUUCCAUCUUCAUUUGGAUGCCCCGUUUCAUUAGAAAUAUAACUUUUCCCAAGCUUGGAGUCAUAUUUUAUCUUUCCAUCAAAUAGCUAAAUUUGAAAAGUAAGGAAAACAUCAAAAGAAAGUGUUUCUAAGGAUUGACAUGUUCAUUUGCAAGGAAUCUGUGUUUCUGGUAAUACUCGGAUCUUGCUUAAAAACAAAAAUCAGUGUACACAACAUGAACCUGCAGAGAACUCUGACCUGUCAGAAAUAUGUUUCUGGUCCUGCUUUUAAGAGCUGCUCUUUGCCACUGGGCAUUCAGAAAGUAAAAUACUCACACAAGGCAUUUGUUUAAAAUGUUUCCUACUGAGCCCACAUUAGAAUUGCUUUAGGCCUUUGGCCUUAUUUUGAGAAACAUUUUCUUCCCAUUAUUCUUUGGUCCUCCACUUAAAUAAUAGAAAUGUUAUUAAUGCUAUAAGCAGCAAUUUACAACCUUAUGAAUGCUUCUGAACAAAUUUUAAACACAUGACUCUUAUAGAUCAUCUUCUCUGUUGCCCCAGUAAAGCCUUAUCAUUUGCACCAAUGAUUUAUGCACAAAAGCAGAAUUUUUCUUCAAUGAAGUCAAACUUUAUUCAGGGUGUUAUGUGGUUUUUAAAAUUUUUACGUAGUAAGAUUUACUCUGUGUAUUUUAUGGGGAAUUUCAUUUCAAAAAUUUUAACUAUUCUAUUUUUUUUUUUUGCAAUCUUUUAGUGUAAUGGCAUUUAUUAUAAAAAGUCUUCUCAAAAUGUUUACCAGGAAAAUAAGGCAGUUUACAAUCAGAAUAGUUGACCUUUUGAUAUUCUAAGUCAUAAUUUACUUUGCAUAAGCCUGCGAUCGGUUCUCUUUAUUCAUAUUCAGCCUGAAUUCAAUUUCAAGUACCUGCUUCAGUAAUGCUACAGUUACUUUAUACAUUUGUUUUGUCAUGCAGCAUGCAGCCUUGGUGGUCAUGAUACAACCUGUAUUUGUGUACCACUUUUUUUCUCAUGUUAAAAACCUUUAAUUACAACAUGUAAUUCAAAUCACAGCCAUGAAAAGAUUUUGCAGCCAUAUUGUAAAACCGCCAUGGUGAUCAUACUGCAUUUUCACUAGUUUCAAUCUGGAGUAAACCUAAAGUGAAAUCUGCCAGCUCCAAACCAAGACUCAUGGUGACUUUCAAUUGCUUUCUGCUUCACUCUUCACUCGCUGAAGAUCUGCUGUAUUGGACUGCUUUAAGUAAUGAACAACGUGUGGAUGCAAUAACAACUGGACAUGGUUGUAUAUAAUAUGAAUCUUAAAAAUUCAAUACAUCGUGUGUUGUAAUAGACAUACUUAAUUCACUCAUGUGAAGUAAACAUUCUCUGAAUUUUGGGGCCUGCAAUCUUUUGUUGCUUCUGUGUGAACCAUCAUGGUUCCUAACUGCCGUUAUGUUUUGGCCACAACUGUCUCCUAAGUCUUCAAUUAAUACUUGAUUUAAUGGAAACUCUGUGAAGCCCAGCCUCCAAGGGAUUGUAACUUGGGUGAAAAAUUCAUGGGAUAAAGUCACUGACAGCUGUGUUUCCUAUGCCCUGUGAGCAGGCUACAUGGAUGAGAUGUGCACAUUUUAAGAGAGCUCUACUGCUGGACCUGAGAGGCUGGGGCCAAUAUUUCCAUAGAAAUGGAAUUUCAAGACAUUCAGUCCAUAAUGUGGGGUUUGGAGAACUAUAAUAGUGUUCUAGAAAAAGGUGACAAGACUGUAUUUGAACAAAUACGGAUUUUUGUAUAUGAAAAAAAUAAGAUUACCCUGAAAAAUAAGUCCUGGUGCAUCUUUUGGAGCAAAAUUUAAAGUAAGAGCUGGUCUUAUUUUCAGGGAAUAAUAUUUUUGAACUCUAGUUCACCCAACAGGGUCAUCAUGGGCAGCUGAGUUACUGCACCUGAAUGAAUAAUAUUUUCAUGGUAUGAGAUGACCCAAGAUAGCUUGGGCAGGGCAUAUGAAUGAGUACCCUCUACAGUGGUCAAGCAAAUGGCAGACGUGCAGGCCCUUUAACAUCUGCUUUCUGCCACCUUCUCUCUUCCAAUAGUCAUGACUGAUGUCUGAGUGUUCACUGUGGGAGCAGCACUUUGGGUGCAGUAACUCAGCUGUCUAUGGUGACCCUAUUGGUGAGCUAGAGUUUGAUUCUUUUGUCCCUCAAAGGCCACCAGCUUGGUGCUACUAGGAGGUGGUGGAGCCCUCAGGAGUUGGAAUCUAGUGAAAGGUCUCCAGUCACUGGGCAGAACCCCCUGAAGGGGACAGCAGGAUCUCACGCCCUUCUUCUUCUCUUCCCAGCCAUGAGAGAGAACAGGCCCAGCUGCAGGCGUGCAUGCCAGUGCAGGCGGCACCAGCAAGAACAGACUGGGAAACGGGUGCGCACUCCUGCAGGCAGGACCUGUGGCGGGAGCAGGCUGAAGCAGGAGGGAGAAUAUGAAGCAGCCGCUGGUCAUCAGAAGCCCUCACAGAUGACCUUGUUGAUUUCCCAUCACAACGUAUUGCAGCACUUCUGACUGAUGACUUCCAAGCUGCCUGCUGGAAAGACUGAAAAGCUCUGCACAAUGUCUUGCACAAACUGACUACAAGAAAAAAAUCCACAAAUUUCUUAGAGCUUCUGCAUCCUAUAAAAUGUGGACCCUUGAGUUCACUUAAACAAUGAUGCUUACUCAGGGCUGCCUACUCCUUUUUUAUCUUCAUGCUCUAAUAGCUGCUGUCCUUGCGAUUAAGAAACCUGACAAGCUCAUCUUAGUCCAAGCCCUCACUGUCCAGGUGCCUCAUGCUGUACUGGACAUCCCAGUCCUGACAUGUGUCUGCCCACCACGCUUGGCCCACCAGAUUGUGCCUAAAAUCUGACUCCCCCUGAUGGAUGCUGAGGAGACCCUACUUAUGAAUGAAUGCAAGUGGCUCUGUCACGACAAGUUAGAGAUGCUGUAGUCACCUUGGAUGAAGUUAUUUUGGCCAAAACUCUCCUACUACUGCUUCCUGCUGCUGUUUGGAAACCUGCUACCAAAAUAUUACAUGAAACUCCAUUAGAAUGUACAAUCUUAUGUCUUAUUGUAUCCUCUAAAAUAAAUUUCACAAAGUGAAUGAAACAUAAUGAAGAAAUGUUCAGAUAAAACAGAAAAUAAAAUGAAAUAGUGUUUAAACUGUUUACUUCGUUAUACACAGUUGUGCCUCUGCUUUGUACAUAAGACACACAGACGCUUUGCUUUUCCUAUUCUCACAGGCAUUUUCACAUCUUGAAAACAUGGUUCUGUUUGCAUGCCUGCCUCCCAAUCCUUCUUACCUUUUUGGACCACGGAAAUCUAAUUGAAAUAUUCUCAUCCCUCAUUUCAGUGUUUUAUUUUUGCAUACUCUGUACUAAAUUGUCUGACUGCAAAUCCAUUCUUUGCUGUGGCCUGUGUCGCAUCCUCUUAUUCUUGCUGAUAAGUAUUCAAUUAAUGCAUAGGAAUGAAUAAUAUUGAACUGUUCUUACUGAUAUUUUUAGUUAUCAAAAUCGUUUAAAUACAUUAAAAUACAUAUCAAAACCUUCAUUCUUUGAAAACUAGUUUUAUAACACCUUUGUUGUGUUUUUCAUGUGCUGUUAGCUUUAUGAGCAAAUUCAUAAGCAAUAAUGUUUGUGUUACAGUGUCUGCAGUGGUGGGAAAACUGACAGCAAAUCGUGAAAGACUCCUUCCAUCACACACUUGCAUUUCACAAUGAGCAACUGAAACGGUUAAUAUUCGGAACUGUAAUUACAGGAUUAUUAGCUAGAAGUAAAGUAAACCUUGAUUAAAAGAAGCUUGGACUAUGUAUUCCUCUAAUGAUUCUCCCACCUAUAAUAUACAGGGGCUACAACUGUGUCAGUUCUUGCCAACAUAUUACAGGGACAUAAUUACAUUGGCUUGUAGCUGUUAUAGUGCAUGUGAAUGGAUCUGUUUGGGAGUCUAAUUUGCAGUUCCUUUAUGCUUAAUAAUAUUGAGCAUAUUUUUAUGUCCGUAUUUCCUUUAUGACUGAUAGUACUGAGCAUAUUUUAUGCACAAUUUCUGUACAUGGUCCUAAUUAGGCUGGUUUAUAUGAGUUUUUUUUUCUGUAGUU